GGGAUGCAUUACAAACUCUGAAUAGUGGCUCCUUUCUUUGCCACAGUGUUGCUGACUAGGAUGAAGGUGAGAGGAGAAGGCUGGAAGGAUGAAAUCUCUUGCCUGUGGAUAGCUGUCAAUCAACUCCAGAUGGAAGAAAAAUAUUUAUCUAGGCCAGAGGCUACUCCAGCCAAUGCAUCUGGGGACAGAGAGAGAUCAUCAGGGGACACGGGUUCGAGCCCUGGUCUGGGAAGAUCACACAUGCCGUGGAGCAACUGGGCCCGUGAGCCACAACUACUGAGCCUGCGCGUCUGAAGCCUGUGCUCCGCAACAAGAGAGGCCGCGAUAGUGAGAGGCCCACGCACCGCGAUGAAGAGUGGUCCCCGCUUGCCACAACUAGAGAAAGCGCUCGCACAGAAACGAAGACCCAACACAGCCAUAAAUAAAUAAAUAAAUAAAUUUUUUUUAAAAAAAAAGAAAGAGUCCUAAUUCUUUCCUCUUUCGAAGUUGACAUUAUCUCUAGGAAUUCAGAGAGCAAACACUGUAAACUCAGGCAUGGGUCUAUGUCAUUAGAGUUUACAUCAGGUUGUUCACCCAGCCCCAAAGAACUUCUUAAUUCGCUCUUCCAAAUAGGGGGUCAAUCAUACAUAUACUGUAGGACUCAUUUAUCGUUUAAUACAUUUAGUAAUGGGGCCUAGAAUUUUUUUUCCUUUUAAGUUCAUGAAUAUAUGAAAUAAUCUUGGUCCCAUGAAAUUAUCCAAAAUGUUCAACAGAUAGAUGGGUUACAGCCAUUCUACUAGAGAAUUUUUCAUUGGAAAAUCUUAAAUAUGAAAGUUUCCAAAUAUUGGAUCCAAAUAGUCCAAAUAGUUUUUAUCUGUGUCCUCUCCCCAUCAAAAAUGCCCAGAACAAUUUUUCUACAACUUAGCAAUGGAAAAAUUUUCAAUUUUCUGAACUUCAGCAUGAAUCUAACGAACCCACACUGGAAGCUAUCUUAAAGGAAGAACAUCUCUCUCUACACUUGAAAAUACUAAAGAAAUGCCAAAUGAUUCCCAAAUUUUGGUAAUAUUAUAUCUAAAAUGAGGUCAUCUUCAAAUGUGGCUUUCUGGCUUUAUUUAUGGAAACCUGUGGUACGGUCCUUAGUUUUCUGACAACACUUAUUCCUAUAUUACCUAAUAUCCUUGAAUAAUUUUGCCUUCCUUGUUCAUGGCAUAACCACUGUAUGCCAUGAGCUGCUAAGAAAUACAAUUAAAAGCAAAUGAGAAAGACAAGCUUUACAUGCAAAGUGCGAUUUCAUGUAAGAGGAAUGGAACGGAAAGAAGAAAUAUCCAGUGGGAUAUGAACU